rnacentral:rRNA from 1 species
UAGAGUUUGAUCCUGGCUCAGGAUGAACGCUGGCGGCGUGCCUAAUACAUGCAAGUCGAACGCAUCACGAAAGUGAUGAGUGGCGAACGGGUGAGUAAUACAUAAGCAACCUGGCAUCUACAGGGGGAUAACUGAUGGAAACGUCAGCUAAGACCGCAUAGGUGUAGAGAUCGCAUGAACUCUAUAUGAAAAGUGCUACGGGACUGGUAGAUGAUGGACUUAUGGCGCAUUAGCUGGUUGGUAGGGUAACGGCCUACCAAGGCGACGAUGCGUAGCCGACCUGAGAGGGUGACCGGCCACACUGGGACUGAGACACGGCCCAGACUCCUACGGGAGGCAGCAGUAGGGAAUUUUCGGCAAUGGGGGAAACCCUGACCGAGCAACGCCGCGUGAAGGAAGAAGUAAUUCGUUAUGUAAACUUCUGUCAUAGAGGAAGAACGGUGGAUAUAGGGAAUGAUAUCCAAGUGACGGUACUCUAUAAGAAAGCCACGGCUAACUACGUGCCAGCAGCCGCGGUAAUACGUAGGUGGCGAGCGUUAUCCGGAAUUAUUGGGCGUAAAGAGGGAGCAGGCGGCACUAAGGGUCUGUGGUGAAAGAUCGAAGCUUAACUUCGGUAAGCCAUGGAAACCGUAGAGCUAGAGUGUGUGAGAGGAUCGUGGAAUUCCAUGUGUAGCGGUGAAAUGCGUAGAUAUAUGGAGGAACACCAGUGGCGAAGGCGACGAUCUGGCGCAUAACUGACGCUCAGUCCCGAAAGCGUGGGGAGCAAAUAGGAUUAGAUACCCUAGUAGUCCACGCCGUAAACGAUGAGUACUAAGUGUUGGGAGUCAAAUCUCAGUGCUGCAGUAACGCAAUAAGUACUCCGCCUGAUAGUC